rnacentral:rRNA from 1 species
UACGUAGGGUGCAAGCGUUGUCCGGAAUUAUUGGGCGUAAAGAGCUCGUAGGCGGUCUGUCGCGUCUGCUGUGAAAACUCAGGGCUUAACCCUGAGCUUGCAGUGGGUACGGGCAGACUAGAGUGCGGUAGGGGAGACUGGAAUUCCAGGUGUAGCGGUGAAAUGCGUAGAUAUCUGGAGGAAUACCGGUGGCGAAGGCGGCAUCCUGGACCGACAUUGACGCUGAGGAGCGAAAGCUAGGGGAGCAAACGGG